UACGAAGGGGGCUAGCGUUGCUCGGAAUUACUGGGCGUAAAGCGCACGUAGGCGGAUUGUUAAGUCGGGGGUGAAAUCCUGGAGCUCAACUCCAGAACUGCCUCCGAAACUGGCGAUCUUGAGUUCGGGAGAGGUGAGUGGAACUGCGAGUGUAGAGGUGAAAUUCGUAGAUAUUCGCAAGAACACCAGUGGCGAAGGCGGCUCACUGGCCCGAUACUGACGCUGGGGUGCGAAAGCGUGGGGAGCAAACAGG
rnacentral:rRNA from 1 species